UACACAACACAGCAUUGAGAAAGGAUGUUGUGCAAGAAAACUGACAGCCAGGACGUAAUUGGAUUGAUUCAAGUGUACAGUGCAGUUGUUGACAUUGUUCAGAGUCAAGUCAACACUAAAAGAUUGAGCCAACCAGAUGAAUUCACCCCAGUCCAAAACACACUGGCAGUUGAAGUCUUUUCUAAUAAAAAAAAAUUUUCCUGAACAUCCAUGUCCAAUAAACAUCUAGACAGAGAUGAUGUAUCCUGGGAUGUGGCCCCUGGAGGGUAAGGGAAGUGUCCUGCUCACUGUUGAACCUCAUCACCCCAGCACAUGUGUGACAGAUGGUGAAAGCUCAAUAUAUGAAUGAAUGUUGAAUGACGGAAUCUACUACCUGAUGGGCCAGUCUAUUCCACCUUUGAACAUUGCCAAUUUUAAGAACAUUCUUGUUAUUGAGAUGCAAUUUACUUUACCUGUCUUCUACAGUUUAAACCCGCUUCCAUAUGAAGACUAAUCAAUAAUUCAAAAAGUGUUAAGUUCUCCUUUAAUUCUUUUAUUUUUUAAACAUAUCAUCCUUAUAAGUCCCUUAAGGGCAGGG
rnacentral:lncRNA from 1 species